CUACGGGGCGCUCCAGUGAGGAAUAUUGCACAAUGGGGGGAACCCUGAUGCAGCAACGCCGCGUGGAGGAUGACGCAUUUCGGUGUGUAAACUCCUUUUAUAUGUCAAGAAAAUGACGGUAGCAUAUGAAUAAGCACCGGCUAACUCCGUGCCAGCAGCCGCGGUGAGUACGGAGGGUGCAAGCGUUACUCGGAAUCACUGGGCGUAAAGGACGCGUAGGCGGGUUGGAAAGUCAGGUGUGAAAUCCUACAGCUUAACUGUAGAACUGCACUUGAAACUUCUAAUAUAGAGUAUGGGAGGGGGAGAUGGAAUUAGUGGUGUAGGGGUAAAAUCCGUAGAUAUCACUAGGAAUACCUAAAGCGAAGGCGAUCUCCUGGAACAUUACUGACGCUAAGGCGUGAAAGCGUGGGGAGCAAACAGGAUUAGAUACCCGCGUAGUC
rnacentral:rRNA from 1 species